UCAGUCACCGCCACUCACCAACUCCCUUUCCCUUCCAAAACGCAAUACAUGCACAAGCAAAUACACACACACAGCAGAAGAAAGAAUAGAGAACGGAAGCCAGAGAAGAGAAGAGAGGAAGGACGCGCUGGCGCUAGUGGUCCUCGCAACCGCCGUCGCCGCCAAACCAACCGCGCGAGAGAGAGAAAGUUCGCUGAAGAGAGAUGCGUCAGAAAGAGAGAGAGCUCGCACCUUGUCAUUGCCGUCCAUGGAGCCACGAGCCGCAUCACUGUCGCCGAGGGAGGAAAGAGCACGAGCUGGAGGAGCCGUUGAAGAAGUUAUCGGCUGUGAGGCAAAGAUAAUUUUCGUUGAUAAUGGGUUUCAAUUCGGUGUAUAGGAGCUUGCUUGCAAGAUAUAUUCCCCCAGGAUUCCAAAAUGAACACUCUGGCCCAUCAUUUUAAAGAAUUUUUGUUCAUACCAGAACACUUAAGGCGGUGGCUAUUGAAAAUCCAAAUGAUGCUGAUCAAGCUGCUGAAAUUGUUCUCAGUGAAUUGCACAGAGACUUAAUAUUGCCACUACCAUGGAAGAGUAUGUUUUAUUUAUUGCAGUUGGAAAUUCAAGAAUAAAUCAAAGACUCGACAAAAAUUCAAGACUGAAAUAGAGUAUUUGCUCUUAAAGUUAGGCACCUGGCAGUUCUCAAAUAAACAAGUAAUUGGACGGGAUUUUGAUUCAAAUUCAAAUUGGAAAUGGUUUUAUUCCAGGACUUGCAGCUGCAUUUUUAUUGUUAACAAGAAGAGAAGAUAUGAGAGAGCGCCCUGCAAGUUUUGAAAGGGGGAGUUAGUUGGCACCAUAUGAGGGAAAGACUUCCUCUUUCGAUGUCGCAGAGAAGAGAAGAAGAAAACAACAAUGGUGAAGAAACAAAGAACGAUGGAAGAAGGAGAAGAGGGUGGCGACGACAGGGACGGUCACAGAGAAGGAUGCCAGAUCGAUAGAGAAAAGAAGAGAAAUGAGGCGACGGUGGUGAUGGAUGCCACCGCCGCUGUUGGAUCCGUAGAACUGUGUCCAUUUACCUAUCAAUCGGCAUUCUGCAGAGUUAUCCAUUUGAGAGAUGGUGUCAAGCUUUGGAGGGAAUAAAUUGAAAAAGCUAAAUCAGCUCUGGCUAAGGAUGAGGCUGAGCUUUCAAAAUUGAAAAAAGGAGAAAGCACACUUAAAGAUAUUGUGCAACAGCGAAGCGGUACCUUUUUCUUUCAUGCUGCUCAUGACUGACUCUGAACUUGAAUGUAAUGAAAAACAGCUGCCAGAUGCACCAGACAGGACACCGGCUGCCAAUAUUAAAGGUGGCUGAAGCAUUGCAUUUUUAGGCACUGUCUAAGUCUCUAAGACAUUAACUGUAGACGAACUGCUUUAUUUAAAGGAGGAGUUACACUUUUGGAGCCAAACAAAAAUGGAACCAUUAGCCUAGAAAACAUCAAAGCGGCCUCGAUGAAAAACGCAACAAAUGCUAUGGAGUCGCACACUAUUGACUUUUUUGGAUCAAUUCCAUGAUGCAAAUUCCAUGUCACUUGAGUUUAGUGUUCUUAAGGAUCUCAUUGAGAUUUUAGAGAGCAAAAGUAGCCUCAUUGAAGAGGCAGGGAGCUUGCAAUGUCUCCAAUCAAAUUGCUACGUUUUGAUGUAACUGUUUGGUAAAAAAAAAGCUUAUAUUUUGGAGGAUGUCCAUUUUUGCUUCAAAAGAGGGUCUUAAUGCGGCGCUCGAGUGAUUAUCUGUUUAUGGAUAGUUUUUCUAGAACAAUUGAUGUAACUGUCUUUUUUGUUCUUGGUUUAGGUUAUUUUUUUGUACGAAUUUGUCGUUGGAUGUAUUUUGUGGAACUGAUCUUAUUAACUUCCUUUUAGUUUUGGUAAAUUGAACUUAUAAAAAAAAGCAUGGAAAUAAUUUAAAAACA